rnacentral:rRNA from 1 species
GACGAACGCUGGCGGCGUGCUUAACACAUGCAAGUCGAACGGAAAGGCCCUGCUUUUGUGGGGUGCUCGAGUGGCGAACGGGUGGGUAACACGUGAGUAACCUGCCCUUGACUUUGGGAUAACUUCAGGAAACUGGGGCUAAUACCGGAUAGGAGCUCCUGCUGCAUGGUGGGGGUUGGAAAGUUUCGGCGGUUGGGGAUGGACUCGCGGCUUAUCAGCUUGUUGGUGGGGUAGUGGCUUACCAAGGCUUUGACGGGUAGCCGGCCUGAGAGGGUGACCGGCCACAUUGGGACUGAGAUACGGCCCAGACUCCUACGGGAGGCAGCAGUGGGGAAUAUUGCACAAUGGGCGGAAGCCUGAUGCAGCAACGCCGCGGGCGGGAUGACGGCCUUCGGGUUGUAAACCGCUUUCGCCUGUGACGAAGCGUGAGUGACGGUAAUGGGUAAAGAAGCACCGGCUAACUACGUG